rnacentral:rRNA from 1 species
UACGAAGGGAGCUAGCGUUGUUCGGAAUCACUGGGCGUAAAGCGCACGUAGGCGGAUGUGUCAGUCAGGGGUGAAAUCCCGGGGCUCAACCUCGGAACUGCCUUUGAUACUGCUAGUCUCGAGUCCGGAAGAGGUGAGUGGAAUUCCGAGUGUAGAGGUGAAAUUCGUAGAUAUUCGGAGGAACACCAGUGGCGAAGGCGGCUCACUGGUCCGGUACUGACGCUGAGGUGCGAAAGCGUGGGGAGCAAACAGG